AGAGUUUGAUCCUGGCUCAGAACGAACGCUAGCGGGAUGCCUCAAACAUGCAAGUCGAACGAGAAAGUAUCUUCGGAUGCGAGUAAAGUGGCGCACGGGUGCGUAACACGUAGCUAACCUACCCCUUCGCUGGGGAUAACUUCGGGAAACCGAAGCUAAUACCGAAUGAUCUGAUACGGUCUGCGGACUGUAUUGGUAAAGCCUUCGGGCGCGAAGAGAUGGGGCUGCGGUCCAUUAGUUUGAUGGUGGGGUAACGGCCUACCAUGACUACGAUGGAUAGCUGGUCUGAGAGGAUGAUCAGCCACACUGGAACUGGAACACGGUCCAGACUCCCACGGGAGGCAGCAGUUGGGAAUAUUGGACAAUGGGGUGACCCCUGAUCCAGCAAUCCCGCGUGAGUGAUGAAGGCUUUCGGGUCGUAAAGCUCUUUCAGCAGGGAAGAAGGGAAACUUGACGGUACCUGCAGAAGAAGCACCGGCUAACUCCGUGCCAGCAGCCGCGGUAAUACGGAGGGUGCAAGCGUUGUUCGGAAUCAUUGGGCGUAAAGCGCGUGUAGGCGGCCAACUAAGUCUGGUGUGAAAGCCCUGGGCUUAACCCAGGAAGUGCAUUGGAUACUGGUUGGCUAGAGGACGAGAGAGGGAAGUGGAAUUCCUGGUGUAGGGGUGAAAUCCGUAGAUAUCAGGAGGAACAUCGGUGGCG
rnacentral:rRNA from 1 species